UUACAGAAUGAGGUCGGUGCGCUGUUGGAGUUUAGGGACAUGGUCAUGGACACGUUCCCGCACCUGCGUCACAAGCAGGCGUCCAGCCCGGAGCCGAGCUCGGGGUCACAGGGCGUCGGUUCCGGAGAGAGCCGCUGGGAGCCUGGGGUGCGAGUCCGCCGGAAGUUGCAGGGAUCAUCAUCGGGAUGGAUCGCCGGUGCGGGCGGUGGCGGCGCUGGGGGAAGUGGCGUCGUACUGGCGGCCGCGGCUGGGACGGCGCCUCGGAGCCGGAGUAACAGCCACGGGAAGGGCCCGAAGAGCGGCGAACCGGCGGCCGCUUCGUCGGUGGGCACCGUGCAGGACAGCGGCUUCUGCACGGAGAGCAAGGACAGCAGCUCGACUAGCUCGCGGACGACGAUGACUACCAAGAACUGCGGCAAGGACGACGACGAGGACGAGCUGUGGAGCCUGCUGGAGAUGAUCCAGGACAAGGGCACCAAGCUCAAGCUGGAGGUGGAGUCGUUGCAAAACCGAUUGCUGGUGGACGAUGAGCGGUUGCGGCGACGCCGGCGCCGGCUACGGUUGCGACCGUGCCGCAGUGUGGACGACCUGCUGCAACCAGGGACGCGUGACGACGACUUACUCAGCACCUACUGCAGCGGCGUCACCACCGACUACGAUGUGUUCCGGGCGCACGUGGCGACCGUAAAACGCGAACGGGACGCGNUGCUCGANCGAGUCACCGAAAUGGAAGCGGAGAGCCUGUCGAACGCGGCGCAAAUCCAUCGGCUGCUCACCGAACUCAAGACUGUCGUGUGCGAGAACAAGGAACUCGAAGAACGGCUGUGCGGUGGCAAGUCGCCAUCGGCCGCCGCAGCCAUAGCAGCCGCGACCAUCGCUGCGAGGAAAUCGUCAUCUAGUCAUAACGGCGGUGGCUUCGCGCCGGUUCAGCCCGAUUCGUCGACGGGACCCAGUUCGUCGUCGGCCGGCCGCGACGCAUUCUACACCCCUAGCCAACAUUCGGCGUGCAACUUGUCGUCCAUCGAACUGCAGUGCAGCAAAUUAUUGCACGACGGUUCGUCGUCCGCGUCCUGUGCGUCGUUGUCUUCGUCAUCCGCCAUGAUGGACGACGACGGCAGCGGUGAACGGGAUAGGGACCGCCACCGGUCCAGNAGAGUCCUAAUGGUCCGACCGUCCGACCCGAUCUCCCGGAACCUAGAGGGCCGCGCAUCGUCGCCGGCGUUAGACAUCGGGUCGCCGACGUUCGCCAAGCGGCUGGGCGCCNUGGACGGCGUGGUCAGCAGUCCCAGUGACCGGAUCAACAAACCCCAUGCACCAGGAUUCAGCACUCCGUUGCCCAAAAAAACCCUAGCGGCUAUACUGAAAACGUUCAAUCCCAUCGAACUUCAGCGUCACCUCAUCACCGUAUCCUACGAAAACAAGAAUCUCGUCCGUCAGAUGGAGAUGUUGAACAUUUCCAAGAACAACGUUUCCAACGAGCUGAACAAGAGUAAAGAGGAUAACGAAGAACUGAAAUUCCAACUGGAGGAAAAGCGAAUCGAGCUGGAAGGGACCAUGGCCCGGGUGAGGUUGUUGCAAUUNCACCAGGAACAGCAGCAACACGGCCCCGUCGUCGCGGGAUCGCAGUCUGCCGGCACUUCGGCCGCGGCCACUAACCAGUGGCUAGAUCUGGUGCCAUCAAACCCGAUCCUACCUCAGAUCGCGCUGCCGGGAACGCCUUCGGCGGCGGUCUCCACCCCACAUACGAGCAACAACCACCUGCACCAUCAUCACCACAAUCACAGUCAGGACNAGAACGGUGGCAGCAGCAGCACCGAGUCGGCGCAUCAGACCCGUAGCGGCAGACACGGCGUACAGCAUCAGCCCAGCAAGAUACCGGUGGUCAAGCCGUCGUCGUGCCCGGUGCAGCCCAGACCGACGUCUUCGUACCGCGGAAGCGACGUGCAGCAGUACCAGUCGUGGACCAAAUGCAAGUCGGACCAAUCGUUGCCCCGCAACUGGGAGUCCAUCAACAACAACAAGAGCAACGGCGGGUCGUCCAUCGGCAGUGGCGGUGGUGGCGUCAAACAGCGCGGCAACAAAACCGACUCGUCGNAUAAUCACCUGCACCAACACAGGUCCCGAAGGGAUUCGGGCGGCGGUGGCGGCGGAGUGUCUCUGACGCGAGCCCGGUCGCAAAACAAUCACUCGCACCGGGGCGGCGUCGCGNCGUCACCGUCGACAGCGGGUGGCGUGGCCAAAGACUUUAACAGGACUGCGUCGGCGGUGUCCGCGGGUCAUCAGCUGCAGUUGCUGCAACAACAGCCGGCGGCUGACGAUACCAACAAGGUACGGCCGACCAAGAGAUUCGCCAACAUACUUAACAGUUGGAUGCGGAAAUCCUAAUGGAAGGCUUUUAAACACACACACUCGGCCGUAUAUAUAUAUAUAUUAUAAGAUGGCGUCAUCAUAUCGGCCGAUGUCCUACGACGUGUGCGCAUGCGCACGUUUUCAGACACACAAACACACACACACACAUAUAUAUAUAUAUAUAUAUAUAUAAAUAUAUAUAUCGUAUACGUAGGCGCGCACACACAUACUACUCACACGCACGCCGGUUUAAGUCGACAGUGUAUAUGUAUAUAUAAAAUAUGAUGUGUGUGCGCGUUCCUGUGUGCGUGCUUAACAUUAUAUAUACAUAUAUGAUAAAAUGCACUAUUUAUAUAUAUAUAUAUAUAUAAUAUCGCACCAUGCUGUUGUUUCCAAUCACACCACAGUCACCAAAAAAUUAAAUAUUCGAAAAAAUCUGUUAUAUAAUAUUUUAUAUAUAUAUAUAUAUAUAUAUGAUGAGAAAAAGGAUUAGCUUUUCGACGUGUGCUUGAUAUUGCUUCUUUGGACAUUACGCAGUAAAUCAAAUAUAUACAUAAUAUAGUACAUAUUAUAUACGAGCAUAUACGCAUAUCGUGUCCCCGCGAUUACCAACACACACCGUUCACACGCGACGACUCAAGUCGGCCGAAACCCCCCGCCGCCAAGAAACUGUUCCGGCGCCGUAACCUCGUGCGGCAGAGCCGUUGUUUGAUGGAAGCCUGUAAGAAACCGGUCCUGCCGGCC
rnacentral:misc_RNA from 1 species